GCGAAAGCAUGGGGAGCGAACAGGAUUAGAUACCCUGGUAGUGCAUGCCGUAAACGUUGGGCACUAGGUGUGGGGGACAUUCCACGUUCUCCGCGCCGUAGCUAACGCAUUAAGUGCCCCGCCUGGGGAGUACGGCCGCAAGGCUAAAACUCAAAGGAAUUGACGGGGGCCCGCACAAGCGGCGGAGCAUGCGGAUUAAUUCGAUGCAACGCGAAGAACCUUACCAAGGCUUGACAUCCACCGGACCGCACUGGAGACAGUGCUUCCCUUCGGGGCUGGUGGACAGGUGGUGCAUGGUUGUCGUCAGCUCGUGUCGUGAGAUGUUGGGUUAAGUCCCGCAACGAGCGCAACCCUCGUUCUAUGUUGCCAGCACGUGAUGGUGGGGACUCAUAGGAGACUGCCGGGGUCAACUCGGAGGAAGGUGGGGAUGACGUCAAAUCAUCAUGCCCCUUAUGUCUUGGGCUUCACGCAUGCUACAAUGGCCGGUACAAAGGGUUGCGAUACUGUGAGGUGGAGCUAAUCCCAAAAAGCCGGUCUCAGUUCGGAUUGAGGUCUGCAACUCGACCUCAUGAAGUCGGAGUCGCUAGUAAUCGCAGAUCAGCAACGCUGCGGUGAAUACGUUCCCGGGCCUUGUACACACCGCCCGUCAAGUCACGAAAGUUGGUAACACCCGAAGCCG
rnacentral:rRNA from 1 species